AGUCUGAACUGCAACAGCACGGUCUGCGGUGAGUUAAACAACGUUCAACUGCAGGAUCAAUAGCAUUCAGCGGUGAGUUUAACAACCCUCAAAUGCGGUUAAAACAACAUUCAGAGGGAAGCUUUAUUUAAACCGCGUUCAACUGCAGAUAAAACAACAUUCAGAGGUGACUUUAACAACGCUCCACGGCGCGUGGGAGUAGCAUUUUAAGCGUUUUCUGAUCAUGUAGGUAAGUGCUUUGAUUAACUUUAGACGUGAUGCAUGCUGGGUGGCAAAUAUUUUUUAUCAAAGGCUCGUUGAUGGUAAUAAAUAUACAUAUAAAUAUACAUUUUACUAUAAUACGAUUGUUUUCGAUUAAUUAAUGGGUUGUUUAAUUAUUAAUUUGUUUAUUUUAAAUCCUGUAAUUUAACAACUCUGACGUCAUCGAAUGCGACGAUGCCAAGGUCCAUUGCGAUUUCCACUCGGUAAGUUGAUGGAGAUAAUUCUUACAUUUACACAGCAAAGAAAUGUUUAAUCGUGACAAUAAGUUGUGUUUGGAACAUUCUAAUGUAACGUUAUAAGGUAGCAGUCUUAGGAUGGUAAAUUAUAUAAGUCAUUAAACAAAUAACUUUGUUGCACCACAUAUGCAUAGGCUAAUAGCAAAAGUAGCUAAUUAAACUAUUUUUUGUCGCAAAUAAGUUGAUAAUGCAAGAUACAGGGAAAUGCAAGAUUUUCAGUAGCGAUAUGUUACCUAUAUUACACUAACUCGCAACAAUUAAGCCUCUUUUAGCCAACAUGAUCAGAUGAAGAACAGUGUUGCCAGAUUGGUUUGUUUUCCAGCCCAGUAAUUACUUAAAAUCCACACAAAAUUAUACAAUGAACUCCCAGAAAAUGAUCUAUAAUAAACAAUACAACUUAACUCAUAACAGCACCAUUAUUGUGGCUCAUCAUGUUUUAAUAUGAAGUAAUUAAAGCCAAUUUCAGCCAACACGAUCAGUAUAAAUUAUAAACAUUUAACUGUACAAAAUCAAUAUCACAUAGAUUUGAGCUUAAAUUUGUGUGUGUGUGCAUACAUAUAUGUGUGUGUUUAUAUAUAGGUGUGUUAUUUAUUUCUUUUCUGUUUAGGUCCUUCAACUCUUUAUACCCCCAUCACACACACACACACACACACACACACACACACUCACACACACACACACACACACACACUUUCUUGGUAAUCUGUAAGAAGAGGAGGCAGCAGCACCAGAGAAGACACCUGAGCCGAGGGUGCAUUGGAGACAAAGAGACACUGAUGUAAAUAUUGUCUAUGCAAGGCCAAGGUCAUGCAGGAAUCAACCAAAGAAAGGAUUCCCCUUUCAAAACAGGAAAAAUGGGACCUUUAAACAGAGUGCUUGCACCACCAUAUCAAACUGCUGAUCACAUUCAGAACACUGAUCCUCCCAAUGCUCCUGACACUCAUUGUGAGGUGGCCUUUGCUCCAGAGACUGUUGAGUGCAUUCACUGAACGAUUUCUCAGGUGACGAGGCAUCACCUCCUGGAACCCCAAGAGAUCUUCUUCUGGCUUCCUCAAACUGGAGAACACGUCAAAGUCUCUUCAGAGAGGUGGAGGGCAUGUGGUAGCACACAUCUGCCUAAGGAAUGUGCAGUGGGAGACUUAAACAGAAGUGGGUACUGGCCUGCAACCCUUCAAUUCACCACAAUUUAUGCCAUAGAUAUCUUGUUUUCAUUUCAAGAAAUGAAGAUGGCGGCACCAGGACUGUCCUGUCAAGCAUUUUUUAAGAAUGCUGGAUCAGCGAACUGUCUGCUUUGGUCGUACUGGCAAGAUCUCAGCAGACAGUUUUCAGAAAAGUUUUUUGAGUGGGAGGCUGUGCGAUUCAAGGUGGACAAUAUAUGCAAGGAAGAGCCUUUCAUCUGCCCUGCAUGCAUCCCAUAGAUGCUUGCAGUUUCAGUAGAUGGACACCGCAAGCAUUAUCAUUUCAAGAAUACUGCUAGAUCUGAGGAACCGGCCAUCUUUGAAGGUGUCUUUAUAGCCAAGGAUAAAGAUGUUACCAGAUUUCUGGACUACAUUCACAACACAACCACAACGAAAAGCUUGCCAGAAAACAGGAUGUAACCUGUGAAAUGGAGUGAGGCAAAUGCAGGAUGUUGCUGUAUUAACACUAGGAGAGGAGGUGGGACAGUGCAGUACCUUCCUCUCUAGGAUUGCAGUGACUACAAAACAAUUGUGAAAAGCAGGACGCGCAGACAAUCUGCCUCUCAUGGCCAUGCGCUGGAAUCAGCAAAAGUUUAACAAUUUAGCCAUCUUAAUUACUCGUCGAUAUCAGAAGACCAAAAAGCUCUGGAAAGCCAGUUAGAAAACCUAGAGUCCAUGAAAGCCCAAUUGGCAGUGACAGAAAGCUAAUUGGAAGGCUAGACUCUGUACAUCUAAGUCAGUUUGGAGACUUCAGGAGGAGCAGAAGAUGCUUGUUGCAGAGAUGGACCAUCAUUGGAAAUCUCUAAGCUUGUGCUGAUGCCAUCAGAGAGCUGUCCUGCUUGUUUUCUAAUGAGACAAUGAAAAAUUCACCAUGUGGCCUAAGUGAAGAGGGUCUAAAAGGUCUGCUGAGCACCAUUCUCAGAGAGCAACAUAAAAUCAGAAAAAUUUGCAAGCAAGAGACUGUUACCUACAAGUUUUGUCUGGAGCAGAGAACAUCAACUUCUUGUACAGUGCUUCACCUGAUGAGUACGACAGUGACUUUGACAUUUCUGAUGAUGGUCUGUAAUCCACAAGACUGUCACCUUCCAUCAUUCUGGACAAAGACUUCUAACUGUCAAUAUAAAGCAUUUAAUAAAAUCUACUUUUCAUAACCUUA